GGCCCAAUGGUCUAGUAGUAUGAUACGUGCUUUGGGUAGUCAAAGACCAUCACUGCACGGGGUCCCGGGUUCAACUCCCGGUUGGGCCC